UCAUGAUGAUGAUGAUGAUGAUGUCAUGACGAUGAUGAUCAUGUCAUGAUGAUGAUGAUGAUGUCAUCAUCAUGAUGAUGUCAUCAUGAUGAUGU